rnacentral:rRNA from 1 species
GACGGGGCCGCACAAGCGGUGGAGCAUGUGGUUUAAUUCGACGCAACGCGAAGAACCUUACCAGGGCUUGACAUCCCCUGACCGCGUAUGAAAGUACGUUUUCACCCUCGGGUGACAGGGAGACAGGUGGUGCAUGGUUGUCGUCAGCUCGUGUCGUGAGAUGUUGGGUUAAGUCCCGCAACGAGCGCAACCCCUACGUUUAGUUGCUAACGCGUGAAGGCGAGCACUCUAGACGAACUGCCGUUGACAAAACGGAGGAAGGUGGGAUGACGUCAAAUCAUCAUGCCCCUUAUGUUCUGGGCUACACACGUGCCACAAUGGCCGGUACAGACGGACGCAAAGCCGCGAGGUGGAGCAAAUCCUAAAAAGCCGGUCUCAGUUCGGAUUGCAGGCUGCAAUUCGCCUGCAUGAAGUCGGAAUCGCUAGUAAUCGCAGGUCAGCAUACUGCGGUGAAUACGUUCCCGGGCCUU